rnacentral:rRNA from 1 species
UGGGGAAUUUUGGACAAUGGGCGAAAGCCUGAUCCAGCAAUGCCGCGUGUGUGAAGAAGGCCUUCGGGUUGUAAAGCACUUUUGUCCGGAAAGAAAUCCUUGGCUCUAAUACAGUCGGGGGAUGACGGUACCGGAAGAAUAAGCACCGGCUAACUACGUGCCAGCAGCCGCGGUAAUACGUAGGGUGCAAGCGUUAAUCGGAAUUACUGGGCGUAAAGCGUGCGCAGGCGGUUUGCUAAGACCGAUGUGAAAUCCCCGGGCUCAACCUGGGAACUGCAUUGGUGACUGGCAGGCUAGAGUAUGGCAGAGGGGGGUAGAAUUCCACGUGUAGCAGUGAAAUGCGUAGAGAUGUGGAGGAAUACCGAUGGCGAAGGCAGCCCCCCUGGGCCAAUACUGACGCUCAUGCACGAAAGCGUGGGGAGCAAACAGGAUUAGAUACCCUGGUAGUCCACGCCCUAAACGAUGUCAACUAGUUGUUGGGGAUUCAUUUCCUUAGUACGUAGCUAACGCGUGAAGUUGACCGCCUGGGGAGUACGGUCGCAAGAUUAAACUUAAUGAAUUGACGGGGUCAUAGCUGUUUCCU